AACGAACGCUGGCGGCAUGCCUAACACAUGCCAGUCGAACGAGACCUUCGGGUCUAGUGGCGCACGGGUGCGUAACGCGUGGGAACCUGCCCUUAGGUUCGGAAUAACUCCCCGAAAGGGGUGCUAAUACCGGAUAAUGUCUUCGGACCAAAGAUUUAUCGCCUUUGGAUGGGCCCGCGUUGGAUUAGCUAGUUGGUAGGGUAAAAGCCUACCAAGGCGACGAUCCAUAGCUGGUCUGAGAGGAUGAUCAGCCACACUGGGACUGAGACACGGCCCAGACUCCUACGGGAGGCAGCAGUGGGGAAUAUUGGAAAAUGGGCGAAAGCCUGAUCCAGCAAUGCCGCGGGAGUGAUGAAGGCCUUAGGGUUGGAAAGCUCUUUUACCCGGGAUGAUAAUGACAGUACCGGGAGAAUAAGCUCCGGCUAACUCCGUG
rnacentral:rRNA from 1 species